UACGUAGGGUGCAAGCGUUGUCCGGAAUUAUUGGGCGUAAAGAGCUCGUAGGCGGUCUGUCGCGUCGGCUGUGAAAACCCGGGGCUCAACCCCGGGCCUGCAGUCGAUACGGGCAGACUAGAGUGCGGUAGGGGAGACUGGAAUUCCUGGUGCAGCGGUGAAAUGCGCAGAUAUCAGGAGGAACACCGGUGGCGAAGGCGGGUCGCUGGGCCGUAACUGACGCUGAGGAGCGAAAGCGUGGGGAGCAAACAGG
rnacentral:rRNA from 1 species